ACUCCUACGGGAGGCAGCAGUAGGGAAUCUUCCACAAUGGACGAAAGUCUGAUGGAGCAACGCCGCGUGAACGAUGAAGGCCUUCGGGUCGUAAAGUUCUGUUGUAAGGGAAGAACAAGUGCCGCAGGCAAUGGCGGCACCUUGACGGUACCUUGCGAGAAAGCCACGGCUAACUACGUGCCAGCAGCCGCGGUAAUACGUAGGUGGCAAGCGUUGUCCGGAAUUAUUGGGCGUAAAGCGCGCGCAGGCGGCCUCUUAAGUCUGAUGUGAAAGCCCCCGGCUCAACCGGGGGAGGGCCAUUGGAAACUGGGAGGCUUGAGUAUAGGAGAGAAGAGUGGAAUUCCACGUGUAGCGGUGAAAUGCGUAGAGAUGUGGAGGAACACCAGUGGCGAAGGCGACUCUUUGGCCUAUAACUGACGCUGAGGCGCGAAAGCGUGGGGAGCAAACAGGAUUAGAUACCCUGGUAGGAUAGCG
rnacentral:rRNA from 1 species